GCCGGUGUGUUGGAAUUGGCAGACGAGGCGGACUCAAAAUCCGUUGGUAGCGAUACCGUGUGGGUUCGAGUCCCACCACCGGCACCA
rnacentral:tRNA from 1 species